GACGAACGCUGGCGGCAGGCUUAACACAUGCAAGUCGAACGCCCCGCAAGGGGAGUGGCAGACGGGUGAGUAACGCGUGGGAACAUACCCUUUCCUGCGGAAUAGCUCUGGGAAACUGGAAUUAAUACCGCAUACGCCCUACGGGGGAAAGAUUUAUCGGGGAAGGAUUGGCCCGCGUUGGAUUAGCUAGUUGGUGGGGUAAAGGCCUACCAAGGCGGCGAUCCAUAGCUGGUCUGAGAGGAUGAUCAGCCACAUUGGGACUGAGACACGGCCCAAACUCCUACGGGAGGCAGCAGUGGGGAAUAUUGGACAAUGGGCGCAAGCCUGAUCCAGCCAUGCCGCGUGAGUGAUGAAGGCCUUAGGGUUGUAAAGCUCUUUCACCGAUGAAGAUAAUGACGGUAGUCGGAGAAGAAGCCCCGGCUAACUUCGUGCCAGCCGCCGCGGUAAUAC
rnacentral:rRNA from 1 species